rnacentral:misc_RNA from 1 species
AAUAAUAAUAAUCACAAUAAUAAUAAUAACAAAAAGAAUAGUAAUAGCAAUUGUACUAAGAGUAAAUAAACAAAUAGAUAAAAUGAGCUCAUGUAAUUAUGGAGAACAAGUAGAUGUAAGAGCAAGAACAUGCUGACUCAUCAACAAAUCUGAGUCCCAUAACUCUAAAGAGUGCAAAAAGAAAAAUAAAAUAAUUGGAAUACUAGGCAUCUAGCAAGAAUAUCCUACUUCUCUCCAGUUCCCAAAUAUGAGUAAAAAUUUUCAAAUGCUUUUUGCCUUGUAACAGCCAUAUACACCUCUGCAUACUAAAUGCAAUGCGUGAAUCUAGAUUGUCAAAUUUAGCAUACAAAAAAUAUGCUUUCUCUUUGACCUAUUAUAAGACUUCAUUCGAUACUCAUUUUUUGAAUAUGUUGAAAAAAGAAAGCCACAGCUCAUAAAGACCAUUUUUUUUUUCUUCAGAAAAUGAACAAACAUAUUUAAUCUAUUCUCCUUGUAAAAAUUCUAUGUGUCCAGUCCAUCAUAAAAGGGAAGAAAGGAGUUUAAGGUGGGGGUGUGGGAUUGGCGCUAAGGCCCUAAACUAAACUAAAAACAAAUUCAUAACACAUUGACAAUCCAAAAAGGGAUGUGUUGAACAGAAAGCUCUCAACAGAGACAUAGGAACUUUGUUCAAAAUAAUAUCUAGAACAUGAUUGUUCUAAGCUCACAUA